UUUCAGGAAGAAUUUGUAGAGAAUCU
rnacentral:piRNA from 1 species